rnacentral:rRNA from 1 species
GUUAGCGGCGGACGGGUGAGUAACACGUGGGCAACCUGCCUGUAAGACUGGGAUAACUUCGGGAAACCGGAGCUAAUACCGGAUAAUCCUUUUCCUCUCAUGAGGAAAAGCUGAAAGACGGCGUAAGCUGUCACUUACAGAUGGGCCCGCGGCGCAUUAGCUAGUUGGUGAGGUAACGGCUCACCAAGGCGACGAUGCGUAGCCGACCUGAGAGGGUGAUCGGCCACACUGGGACUGAGACACGGCCCAGACUCCUACGGGAGGCAGCAGUAGGGAAUCUUCCGCAAUGGACGAAAGUCUGACGGAGCAACGCCGCGUGAGCGAUGAAGGCCUUCGGGUCGUAAAGCUCUGUUGUUAGGGAAGAACAAGUAUCGGAGUAACUGCCGGUACCUUGACGGUACCUAACCAGAAAGCCACGGCUAACUACGUGCCAGCAGCCGCGGUAAUACGUAGGUGGCAAGCGUUGUCCGGAAUUAUUGGGCGUAAAGCGCGCGCAGGCGGUCCUUUAAGUCUGAUGUGAAAGCCCACGGCUCAACCGUGGAGGGUCAUUGGAAACUGGGGGACUUGAGUACAGAAGAGGAAAGUGGAAUUCCACGUGUAGCGGUGAAAUGCGUAGAGAUGUGGAGGAACACCAGUGGCGAAGGCGACUUUCUGGUCUGUAACUGACGCUGAGGCGCGAAAGCGUGGGGAGCAAACAGGAUUARAUACCCUGGUAGUCCMCGCCGUAAACGAUGAGUGCUAAGUGUUA